GAUGAAGAACGCAGUGAAAUGCGAUAAGUAAUGUGAAUUGCAGAAUUCAGUGAAUCAUCGAAUCUUUGAACGCACAUUGCGCCCGCUAGUAUUCUGGCGGGCAUGCCUGUCCGAGCGUCAUUUCAACCCUCAAGCCCCCGGGCUUGGUGUUGGGGAUCGGCGAGCCUCCGCGCCCGCCGUCCCCUAAAUCUAGUGGCGGUCUCGCUGUAGCUUCCUCUGCGUAGUAGCACACCUCGCACUGGGAAACAGCGCGGCCACGCCGUUAAACCCCCAACUUCUGAACGUUUGACCUCGGAUCAGGUAGGAAUACCCGCUGAACUUAAGCAUAUCAAUAAGCGGAGGA
rnacentral:misc_RNA from 1 species